rnacentral:rRNA from 1 species
CAUUAUCAAUCUCCGCGCGAUCUUUUUCGCGCGUUUAUUUAAAACCCACCCUUUUUUGAAAAAAAAUUUUUACAUAUUUAUUUACUUGAAAUGAGUAAUUAAAAAAGAUCACUUUCAACAACGGAUCUCUUGGUUCUCGCAUCGAAGAAGAACGUAGCAAAGUGCGAUAAGUAGUGUGAAUUGCAGAAUUCCGUGGAUCAUCGAAUUUUUGAACGCAAAUUGCACUCUUCGAUUUCGAAGAGUAUGCCUGUUUGAGGGUCGUUAAAAUAAAAAUCGAUUUGUUUCUUUUGUAACAUUUCGGAAUUGAGCUAUCUUGUAUCCUAUGAUUCAAGAGGCUUAAAAUUGAUCAUUCUGGUAUGAUUUGAGCGUACUUAAGAUUUCUUUUAUUGCGCUUGAUGAGUAACGGACGUUUUUAUUAGGAUGACCAUUGAUCAUGGUUUCAUUCCUAUAAUCAUUUCAUGAUGCGACCUCAAAUCAGGUAGGAAUACCCGCUGAACUUAAGCAUAUCAAUAAGC